rnacentral:rRNA from 1 species
UACGUAGGGAGCAAGCGUUGUCCGGAAUCAUUGGGCGUAAAGCGCGCGUAGGCGGCCCGAUAAGUCCGCUGUAAAAGUCAAAGGCUCAACCUUUGAAUGUCAGUGGAUACUGCCGGGCUAGAGUCCGGAAGAGGCGAGUGGAAUUCCUGGUGUAGCGGUGAAAUGCGCAGAUAUCAGGAGGAACACCAAUUGCGAAGGCAGCUCGCUGGGACGUUACUGACGCUGAGACGCGAAAGCGUGGGGAGCAAACAGG